UACGUAGGGUGCAAGCGUUAAUCGGAAUUACUGGGCGUAAAGCGUGCGCAGGCGGCUUUGCAAGACAGAUGUGAAAUCCCCGGGCUCAACCUGGGAACUGCAUUUGUGACUGCAUGGCUAGAGUACGGUAGAGGGGGAUGGAAUUCCGCGUGUAGCAGUGAAAUGCGUAGAUAUGCGGAGGAACACCGAUGGCGAAGGCAAUCCCCUGGACCUGUACUGACGCUCAUGCACGAAAGCGUGGGGUGCAAACAGG
rnacentral:rRNA from 1 species